GUUGCUGGGGGUUGCUUUGCUCUCAUGAGCCCUAUUUCUGAGAGUGGCAGUUCAACUAUGCAACUCUAAAUAUAUGUUUCCUUGUCCAGAUGUCUUAUUUAGGCCAAAGCCCGCACUUUGCCUGUAAGAGCUGGAAAAGCACGGACCCGCCUUUGCAGUCAAUUAACUGCCUCCAGGGCACGAAUUAUCUUUAAAAGGAGUUGGAUUGGGAUAGGGAACAUGUGUCAGCGCUGGAACGAGAAGAUGCCUGUCUGCCCUGGUGCCUAAAGAGAUCUCCGGCACUGGAAGAAGCAUCACAUAGGCACAGGGAAGGAUGCUGGUGUCUCAGAAAAGUCGUGCUGGCUGCUGGCAAGAUGACUGCGGGCGAUCAGACAGCGGAGGAGCAGCUGAGAUGAAGUGCUCCCCUCAGCUUCAGGAAAGAAUGUUUAUGGGGGCAGAAGACUCACUUUUGAGGAUGAUUUUCCCAUGAACAAAACUAAACCCAGUCUAGGGGUCAGUAAAACACCUUCGCACCUGCUAAAGCUUCCUCAGAUUUGCACUUGUUCAAGCCAAAACUGGAAUAUGGACAGGAACCGUUCCCUCCUGGAAACUUGUUGCUGGUUCUGUUUCAUGUGUGUCUGCUGCACAGUACCUACAGGGUGGCCCUUGACCUGCUGCUUCCAGUAAUCUCAAGCCUGACAGGGACCUUGCUGUGGGACGGAUGUAGCUGACAUUUAGCAGGAAUGCUAGUUCUCAUCAGAACAGUGCCUGGGGAGAUGAAGCCUGCGCUCAACCAUCCAGCUGACGUGACCUGCUGUUUUGCAAGCUCAGUCAGCACCUCAUUUCAUCAAUGAGAUGCUCUUGGCUAAUGCUAGGUCAUGUUUCCCUGAAAUGGCGUGGGCAGGAAAGAUGUUCUGCUUGGCAUAAAGUGGCCUCAGUGCAAUCUCUCCAGCAUUCUUCUGGGUGGAAGAAACCAGCUUGGCCACUUCUUCAAGGAACGUAAAGAGAACUCAAGCACGUCUUUUGAAUUACGGUGAAGUUCAGGAUUUGCUAAAGGUUUGCCCGAAAUACAAACAGCCGUUUACCCAAGGGCUGCAAUUCACGGGGGGCACCGGGAGGGUUCAGCCCCCAGCCCCAGCCGCUCCGUCCCCGGCUGGUUUGAGGUUCCCCAUGACAGUCCCUGGGCACCACAGCGGGGAGCCCCCGUCCCGGGGAGGGGGGCGGCAGGGCCAGGCAGGCA